AAGGUGGAAUUCUUUCAUUCUAAACACGCGUAUGAACUGGGUGUUACCAGCCGGGGUUUUUAGCCAGGUGCAUUCUAAAAUCUUACUGAUGGUACGAAUGUAUUGGCGGUGAGACAGAUGCCUGCGGGCUGGGUGGUAGCUGAAAUGAUGCCAGGGGGAAUUUGGGGGCGGUCACAUUUCCUUUCCAAAUUCAUUCUUGUCAGAGCCCUUUCCUGUCGUAUGCCACCUUCGUGCUCUUCCUCGCUCUUAGCUUCAGCACCCCACCAGGGCCGGCCUUCUUAAAACGUCCUUUCAAAAAUCACUUUCCCUCCAAGCCGACAAAAGGCCUGUUCACUAAUCAGGGGUGGUUUUUGCAAGAUGAAACCUUGCAAAUUUGUACAAAUGUGUGAAAGACGGCAUUUUCUAUUGAGCCUCUUCUCCCUCGCACCCCGGCUCAGUUUUUCCAUUUUAAGAAGACAGCCUGUCAGUCCGUAUUGCUCUGCUUUACCUCUUCGAAUGACUUUCCUUCCCAGAGCUUAGUUCCAGCCCGUGCUCAUCCGUCCUUCCCAGACAGGCUUUCCUGCCUCUACUUCUCCGUUUUCUGUGCCUUUGUUCAUGCUAUUCCCUCUACCGAAAUGCUCUUCCCUUCAUCUCCACCUGUCAACAGUCAAGUCAUCCGCCAACCGCAGAUCACAGAGGACUGCCACCGGAAGAUCCCGGGCUUCCCUGGUGGCGCAGUAGUUAAGAAUCCGCCUGUCAAUGCAGGGGACACGGGUUCGAGCCCUAGUCCGUGAAGAUCCCACAUGCCGCGGAGCAACGAAGCCCGUGUGCCUCAACUACUGAGCCUGCGCUCUAGAGCCUGCGAGCCACAACUACUGAAGCCUGUGAGCCUAGAGCCCGAGCUCCGCAACAAGAGAAGCCACCGCAAUGAGAAGCCCGCACACCACAAAGAAUAGUAGUCCCCGCUCGCCGCAACUAGAGAAAGCCCACGUGCAGCAACGAAGACCCAACACAGCCAGAAACAAUGAAUAAAAUAAAAUAAAUACAGGAUCCUCAUCCCCGUGUGGGUCUUAUUGCCGCUAUCCAUGGGGAGCUGCUGGAGGUGAGGACCCUGUCUUGGCCGUCUUUGUGUCCCUCUUAUGCCUGAUGACCGUGACAUUGCCUGGUGUCCAAAAAGUUUGUUGAAAGAAUGAAAUGCUUAAAACUUUAAUUGGUGGGAUUUCGAGAAGGUACUUGAGACACAGCAGGCUCUUACUCUGCUUCAAACCUGGUAAACUGCUGUGUCUCUGAGCGAUUCACAUCUGGUCUGAAUCUGUCUUUGUUGAUGCCCUGUAGAGCCUUGUAACUAGUCCCCCAACUAACCUUCCUAUCUCCAGACCUUCUCCCUCAGCCCCUUCUUCCUACCCUCAUCCGUAAACCACAGUGACCUUUCAUACAAAUAGAAAUCUCACUUAUAAUAUAAAUAUAGCUGGAGUCUCAACCUUGGAGGGACAGGAGGGGGAUACCCUUUGCUUUGGGAAACGGCACAGGAUGAAUCAUUUAAGGUAAAUGGAUGGAAGCCUCCUAUCUGUCUACUAUUCUUUAGGAAAACUGUGAAGUCACUUUUUAAAAAGUGAGAUAUAACUGACAUACUAUAGUGCUUUUUAGUAUAUUUGCAAAGUUGUGCAGCCAUCACUACUACCUAAUUGCAGAACACUUUCAUCACCCCAAAAUGAAACCCCAUACGCGCGUUAGCAGUCACUCCCCAGUCCCUCCUCCCCCAGCCACUGAUAACCACUAAUCUACUUUCUGUCUCUAGGGAUUUGCCUGCUUCAGACAUUUCGUAUAAAUGGAAUCGUACGUUCUGCAAAUUCUCUCUGAAAAUGCGUACAUUUUUGCUUUUAUUUAAAUUAUAACCUUUAAAAAAUUAAUAGAUGCCUAUUCUGGAUCAUUCUGAUGACCACCUUGUCACCAAACACUGCCGCUUGAUUUAGUACUUGGCACCAAGAACUAUAAUUUUAACCUUCUUGGGCUAAUGAGAAAAAAAAUAGAAUACUCCUUGUAGAGAUAGC